rnacentral:rRNA from 1 species
AGUGAACGCUGGCGGUAGGCUUAACACAUGCCAGUCGAACGGCAGCACAGUAAGAGCUUGCUCUUACGGGUGGCGAGUGGCGGACGGGUGAGGAAUAUAUCGGAAUCUACUUUUUCGUGGGGGAUCACGUAGGGAAACUUACGCUAAUACCGCAUACGAUCUACGGGUGAAAGCAGGGGAUCUUCGGACCUUGCGCGAUUGAAUGAGCCGAUGUCGGAUUAGCUAGUUGGCGGGGUAAAGGCCCACCAAGGCGACGAUCCGUAGCUGGUCUGAGAGGAUGAUCAGCCGCACUGGAGCUGGGACACGGUCCAGGCUCCUACGGGAGGCAGCAGUGGGGAAUGUUGGGCAAUGGGCGCAAGCCUGAUCCAACCAUACCGCGUGGGUGAAAGAGGCCUUCGGGUUGUGAAGCCCUUUUGUUGGGAAAGAAAAGCAGCAGCUUAUUACCCCGCUGUUCUGACGGUACCCAGUAAAUAAGCACCGGCUAACUUCGUG